UACGUAGGGGGGCUAGCGUUGUCCGGAAUCAUUGGGCGUAAAGAGCGUGUAGGCGGCCCGGUAAGUCCGCUGUGAAAGUCGGGGGCUCAACCCUCGAAUGCCGGUGGAUACUGUCGGGCUAGAGUGCGGAAGAGGCGAGUGGAAUUCCUGGUGUAGCGGUGGAAUGCGCAGAUAUCAAGAGGAACACCUGAGGUGAAGACGGGGUUGCUGGGCUGACACUGACGUGGAGGCGCGAAAGCUAGGGUAGCAAACGGG
rnacentral:rRNA from 1 species